GAUGAACGCUGGCGGCGUGCUUAACACAUGCAAGUCGAACGGAAAGGCCCAAGCUUGCUUGGGUACUCGAGUGGCGAACGGGUGAGUAACACGUGGGUGAUCUGCCCUGCACUUCGGGAUAAGCCUGGGAAACUGGGUCUAAUACCGGAUAGGACCACUUCUUGGAUGUUGUGGUGGAAAGUUUUUUCGGUGUGGGAUGAGCUCGCGGCCUAUCAGCUUGUUGGUGGGGUAAUGGCCUACCAAGGCGUCGACGGGUAGCCGGCCAGGGAGGGUGUACGGCCACAUUGAGUCUGAGAGACGGCACAGACUCCGACGGGAGGCAGCAGUGGGGAAGCUUGCACGAUGGGCGCCAGCCGGAUGCAGCGACGCCGCGUGGGGGAUGACGGCCUUCGGGUUGUAAACUCCUUUCGCUAGGGACGAAGCGUUUUGUGACGGUACCUGGAGAAGAAGCCCCGGCUAACUACGUG
rnacentral:rRNA from 1 species